rnacentral:rRNA from 1 species
GACGUAGGGCGCGAGCGUUGUCCGGAUUUAUUGGGCGUAAAGAGCUCGUAGGCGGCUUGUCGCGUCGACUGUGAAAACCCGCAGCUUAACUGCGGGACUGCAGUCGAUACGGGCAGGCUAGAGUUCGGUAGGGGAGACUGGAAUUCCUGGUGGUAGCGGUGAAAUGCGCAGAUAGUCAGGAGGAACACCGGUGGCGAAGGCGGGUCUCUGGGCCGAUACUGACGCUGAGGAGCGAAGCGUGGGGAGCGAACAGGA